GUGCAUGGACACACAUAGAUAUGCAUAUAUAUUCUUGUAGUUAAGUGUUUUUGUUUCAUGUUGGGGGAUUCUGCUCAUUGUAUGUUGAAUCUUCAGAAAGAUCACAUGAUUGCUUUGGAUGUGAUGCAAAUACUGAUUUAUAGGUAUUUGGUGCAGGCUAAGUGCCAAUUAUAAUACACUCUCGAGCUUUGGUUGAUCGUAUUGUGGUUGAUAAACCUAACUUGUAGGGCUGGGAUAAAGUAUCUGCUGAAGUUACUUGUCCGUUACACUUCUUCCCUUUUUUUUUCUUUUAACAAGCAGCAUUUUAUUGCCUUGUUUGAGGGUAAGCCUUGGCACAAUGGUGACCUGGUUGUCAUAGAUUUCAAAAUACAAAAACAACCUCUUUGCUUGUGAGGGCAAGGCUAUGUACAUUUGACCCUCUCCAGACCUCGUAGUGAUAGGAGCCUCGCACACUAGGCUGCCUUGUGUUCUAUCCCCUUGUUUUAGGGACUUUCCACCUCAAUGCUGCCUAUUUGCCAAUUUCCACUCUUCUGGUGUUUAUGCUAGUGGCUAUCGUAUAUGACAUCAUCUAAAUUGCUAAUUUCAAUCACUCUAGGUCGCUUCUUGUUUUCUUACCUUGUUGAAUGAAUCAAAUUAGUUGUUCUGUUGCAUCAACUUAGUACUGAGUUAUUUAAAUGCUUGGGUUAACUGUCUACUAUUUUCUAGGACCAAUGUUCUGUAUUUCUGUAUCUCUACUUGCUCAUACCUUCAGCUACCUCUUCUGGGAUAGCAGCUCAUCUGUGUAGCAUGGCAGGGAGACGAAGUGUGAGUUAAUGAGUAGCUUGAUCUGCUUUUAAAUUCUUUGACUUACUAGCUGCGAGAGAUUUAUUGAUUAGCAUUUAGAAAUUUGAUUAAAUUUGGUCAUCACCUUAUUUUUGAAAUUUCACCAUUUUUCAUUUAUCCACUUUAUCUUAUGUCCUGAUAUUUGGUAAUUUUCCAUCAGGUGCCAUUGUGAGAGGUUCAAGAAGGGUGAGAUUGUUAAAUAAAUUUGUAGAAAAUAAAUGUGAAUAUAGACCAACCGCUUGAACCAAGAUUUUUCAUACCGUGCCGAAUCGGCUGAUACACCCUGUAUCGUACCGGACUGGCGGAAAACCAGCAUGAUUCGGUCGAUAAAUUCGGUGCACCGACGGUACGGAGGGAAAAAAGAGAAAAAGUGAGAGAGAGAGGAGAGAGGGAGGUGGGAGCCGUCGGAGGCCGAUGGUGGCCAGCUGUGACUGUCGGAGAGCUUCCGAGCCCUGUAUCACCCGAUAGGACUUUCAAGAGAGCAAGAGAGAGCGCUUGGGGGAGGACCUACCGGAUGGACGGCGCCUCUGUCCUCAAUGGCCGGCGAGCCAACACUGACGGCCUGAGGGCGGUCGAGCGGGCGGAGCCGCGAAGCCGGAGCCCCUUCGCGGCUCCGCCCUUUCUUCUUUUUCGAAACAGGCCGUCGUCUGUUUUCUUUUUUUUUGGUUUUAAACUGAUGAAGUCGGCAACCCAGUUGCCGACUUCAGAGAUUUUUUCUAAAAAAUUCAAAAAUCGUGAAGGCGGCAAACUAUUUGCCGGCUUCACUUGAAACUACAUUUUUUAAAAAAACUUGCGAAACAGUGGUGUCUCCCCUGUUUCACGCCUGUGGCAUUGCGUACGUGGACUGCGCCCUUCGGCGGUCAUGGUGGCCAGUCGGAGGCCAUCCGGCAGCCCCGCCGGCUCCUUCCCUUUUUUUUUCCUCUCUCUUUAUUUCUCUUUUUUCUCUUUUUCCUCUUUUUCUUCUUUCGGUUCGGGUCUGCUUGCCUUCGUCAGUUCUCCUCGGUUCAGUAUGGUACGAAACUGUACCGUCAGUCAGUGAUACGGCCGACGGUACCGGCUCAGCAUAUCUUGGCUUGAACUCUAUAUGGGGUAUUCUGAUGGGAGUUAAAGCUAAGGCUGAACAACUUAAUAGACUUGAAUAGGAUGACUUGGAGGCCACUACCUCAUCUCAAUCUAGAGUUUGCUUCAGCUUAUUGUUUAAGGUUAAGCUUGACAUCUGGUCAUCUUAUUUUCAUAGAUGGAUGAAGAGGAGCAUUGUAAUUGAAAAAAGGAAGCUGGGCUCUUCACUCUUCAGGCAAGCACUAUGUUGUGAUAGUGUAAUGUUGUUAUUUUUCUCCAAGAUUUCAUUCACUUUACAUUUCACAUUUUUUCCUAUUUUAUUAUUGAGUGAGCCUUUUUUUUUUUUAAUUUCCAGUUGAUUGCACUUAUUCUUGGCCAUCACUGGUGUUCUAACUAGAGCUCAAUUAACUUCUGUUUAAUUAAUCGAUUCUGAAUCAAUGGCCUUGACUUUUGAUUUUAGAUGGUUGUUAUGGUGUUCUAAGUAGAGCUCAAGCAACUUCUGUUUAAUUAAUUGAUUCUAAAUCAAUGGCCUUGAGUUUUGAUUUUAGAUGGUCGUUAUGUAUGCACCCACGGGCCACGGAUGAGGCCUAGAAUAGAACUAUUACUUAGACAACAGAAGUUGAUGAGGAAAGAUGGGAACUGUGAAGGAUAUACUUAAGGUAUGCAUUAUUAAGAAACGUUUUUCUUUUUUUCUCCCAGUCAUGUUGCACUAUCAGAACUAAACUGGUUCUUAUAUCUCAAUCCUUUAGGACUAUAACAGUGUCAAUUUGUUUUCUGAAGUGAGGACUCUUAGUGCCUGAUUGAACUUCAGCUUUACUCUGUAUUAUUUGAGUGAAAUGUAUAGAACUGUAGGUUGCUAUUUGAGAACCUAAUGGAAUAAUUUGCAACUCACUGUAGUGUUAGAUGUGUUUCUUUUGUUAUUAUUGAGCUCGGGUUUAAAUGUUGGUACAAACUCCUAUUCCAGUUUGGUGUUGGUUCGGUAUUUGAUAUUGGGGUGGAUCCAGAUGGUUCUGAUGGACUGACACAGUCAUUAACAACCCGAAUGAAAAGAAAAAA